CCCUCCCCAUCCCCUCCCCUCCCCGAUCCCCUUCCCCUUUCCACCGUGAGCAGCCCCUCCGAGGACAGCGGGCAUCGCAGAGGCAUUCUCCCCCUCGCCUUCCUCCCGAGACGCAGCCUCUUCGCCCUCCGCCGCACAGGACGACGCUUCCGAGCACACUCUCCUCCCACGCACCGGGACUCCCCUGCGCCUCAGUGCCCUGAGAAGUGGCGACCUCGCCUCGGCACUCGCAAGCGCAACCCUUGUCGCCACAGUCACCGCCAGUGGCCUCUUGGCAGCAGGAGGCAGCGUCCAUGGUCGGGGGCGUCGAUGGGAAGGAGAAGCUGCGCCACGGAGGAGAAGCUGCGCCAGCGGCAGGCCGUCUCAGAUAAACACAAUUCAUCCCCCGCCAUCCUCACCCUUGCCAUCAUGUGCUGCCCUCACCCUUGCCAUGGAGCCGGCGGUGCCUGCGCUGCUGGUGGGGCUCGGCAAGGACGACCACCGCGAGGGGCUACACCCGACGCCGAAGCACAUCGCCAAGGCCUUCCGUGACGGCAACCAAGAUCAAGAGUUGGAGAUUGUGCUGCUCUGCUAAAAGUUUGAAGAAGGUGAAGUUGUGGUGUUUUGCUUGUUAGAGUUUGCACUUUGAGUUUCUGUUCAACUGCUCCUAUGCGAUUGUUGUCUUCUCAAUCUGUCUCAACAACCAUGGCUGGGCAAACAGGCAAGGUAAUGAAAUGAAAUAUGAUAGAUAAGAACUCAGUAGGUGAAGCAACAAAAGAGAAGCUACUGGCGUCUUAUCAGCAGCAAGAGUCUCCAGCUUCUGUGAUGGUCUGAUACUGAUGGACAAUGAUUCUUCAGUUGUCUCUUUACUUCUUUAGUUUCUAAUAAUGAUGAGUCACCGGUUCUAGAUGGGGACUCUGAUGAGUUCAAAGUGGAGGAAAACUUGGAUGGUAAUGGGAAUAAGGAAAAGAAAACGUCUUAGAAGAUCAGUACAGGUGACGACUUUGCUUCUUCAUAAGGCCAUUUUUCAUCUAAAAGGUACUUUUACCAUCUCGUCACUGCUCUCGAUAAUACUUGUUAGCCUGUACUCUAUGUUUAGCCUAUGCCAUCUUAUCAUUGUUUCAGAAUAACUAUUUUAAUAUUUUCUUUUAUGCUCGUGUCUCUAAUAUUUACAUAAUACACAAUUCCUUGAAUUUGUCACAAGAUAGUUAUGAGACUCCAGGAAUGCUGCUCCACCUGUAAAAGUGACAAAUACUUAUACUGAUGUCCUACUGGGCUGUCUCAAACUUAGUCAUGCCUAUCACUUAUCUGCAUUCAUUUGCUUUCAAGUAACAUUACUUGUAUUCUUGAUAUAUAAACUUGUUUACUUAUCAGUUGGAACUGGGCUGCUUGUAUCCCUUACAACUUCUUAUUCCAGCAACAAAUCAAAGGAGAAACUAGGUCAAAAGGUAUUAAAAUUCUACACAUUCACUGAAGCGAUAUCUGAUGAUUUUUGUUGUUACAGUCUGGCGUCUGGCCCGAAACCGUGAAGCUGCUAGGAAAAAUAGUCUAAGAAAAAAGGUAGAAGAGAAGCAAUAUUACCCAUGUGAGAGGCACAUAUAUUUGAAUCUGUAUAUAGGAUGAUAUAGAGAUAUGAUGGAACUUAUUCGUAGAAUUAUUAGUGCACGAAAGAAAUAGAUAUACUAGAGAAAGAUUACAGUAGAGUUUGUGAGCCUACGACAUCGCACUCUCUGUGACUAUAUUAAUUUUACGAAUUUUGUUUUUUA